ACCUGGCCCUCCAGCCAGUUCUUAACCCAGCAGAGAGUGCCCCUGUCCAAGCUGUGGGCUUCCAGCUUUUCCAGAAGUAUGGCAUGGGAGAUGGUAUCAAAGGCUUUGCUGAAGUCCAGGUAAACUACAUCCACAGCCUUCCCCUCAUCCACCAGACAGGUCACCUGGUCAUAAAAGGAGAUCAGGUUGGUCAGACAGGACCUGCCCCUCUUAAAUCCAUACUGGCUGGCUCUGAUCCCCUCUCUGUCCUAUAGGUACCGUGUGAUAGCACUGAAGAUGAUCUGUUCCAUAACCUUGCCAGGCACUGAGGUCAGGCUGACCAGCCUGUAGUUUCCCAGGUCUUCCUUCCAGCCCUUCUUGUGGAUGGCUGUCACACUGGCCAACUUCCAGUCAUGUGGGACUUUCAGUGGUAAUCCAGGACUGUUGAUAAAUGACGGAGAGCGGCUUGAUGAGCUCCCUCAUCACCCUGGGAUGGAUCCCAUCUGGUUCCAUAGACUUGUGAAGAUCCAAGUGGCUCAGCAGGUCACUAACUUCCUCCUGGAUUACAGGGGGGUUGUUUGGCUCCCCAUCCUUGUCUACCAGCUCAGGAGGCCAGUUGUCCUGAGGAUGACCUGUCUUGUUGAAAACUGAGGCAAAAAGGUGUUAAGUACUCAGCCUUGUCUUUGGUAAUUAUGUUCCCCUUCAUUCCACUGAGACUGUGAUGGUAAUGUCUUUAGCUCUGUAAUUUAGAAUACUUGGAAAAAUCUUGUGAACUGUUUUGUAAAUAUACUUUCUUACAUUUGACUCCAAUGUGUAAAAUAUAUUGUAUAGUUUAAUCAAUUUUCUUUCUCAUGGAAAUUUCAAACAUUAAUUUCCUUGAGUUUUUUAGUAAUUUGUGAUUAGUUCUCCAGUAUAUUUUUUAAAAGAAUAGUUAAUCUUAAUAGUGUUAUAUUUAGGCUAUAUUGUUAAAAAAAGCUAAAAAUGAAAACAAACCUUAGCUCAUUUCAGUUUUUAUAUGUAUGCUUAUCCAUAAAAAGAAAGGAAUAGUUCUGUUUUGUAACCCUGACAAACUCCAAAUAUUUCCAAAUUUUUAAAUGUGUUUCUAUGUACUUGAGAUUCUUUGCCCUAAAUUUUGCUUUGAUAGCACACUCUAAACUCCCAGAGACAGGAGUUGUGUCCUCUGUAUUUUUUACGUAGUGUCAAGCAUCUGCAUUCUCAUGAAGGAAGCUUCUGCUGGGAAAAAAAUAAUCUAUGUUUUGCUAUUAUCUAUAGACCAAUUUUCUAAGCAGAAUAAGCAAAUUUGUCAAAAGGAUUUAGUUGGAUUUUUUUCUUCUUUUUCCAAAAUAACUAUGCUUAUAUUAUUUUUGACAGUAUAAUGGUUGAUUGAGUGUGAGUAAUUAAUCCUAUUCCCCAUAUUUUAAGGGUGAUCUAAUCCUGGAGCCCAGGAUUAACUAAUCCUAAAUUGCCCAGGUGGGUUAUGGAGCCUCCAUCCGUGGAGAUAGUUAAAACUCAACUGGACACAGCUCUUAACAGCCUGCUUUGGUUUUUCAAUGGGACAAGAGACGGAGUUCAACUGCAUUGAUUUAUGAGUGAAUAGCAUGUCCCAUUCAGUUCAUCCUAUGGCUAAUGUCACAGACAAAUGCUGGGGGAAUUCAGUGCUCUUUAACUCAGUUUUCAUAAGCUGCAGUUGCUCAUAGCUGAGAUAAAGGGACUGAUCUAGUUCUGAAUGAAGUCAACAUUUUUCUGAAAUGAGACCUAAGAUUCUUCUUCAGAACAAUAGGUCAAGAUAAGGAAGCUACACAGUUUUUCUUAUUUGUGUCUCUCAUUCAUUUUGGGGAGACCAUCCUUUGGUAAGUAUUCUCCUCAUUUUAAAAUUUCCAGUUUAAAUUCUUGGCAUCCUUUGUCCCUUUAGAU